rnacentral:rRNA from 1 species
GACGGAGGGGGCUAGCGUUGUUCGGAAUUACUGGGCGUAAAGCGCACGUAGGCGGCGCAUGCAAGUCAGGCGUGAAAGGCCCGGGCUCAACCUGGGAACUGCGCUUGAGACUGCUGUGCUUGAGAACGGGAGAGGGCAGUGGAAUUCCCAGUGUAGAGGUGAAAUUCGUAGAUAUUGGGAAGAACACCGGUGGCGAAGGCGGCUGCCUGGCCCGUUUCUGACGCUGAGGUGCGAAAGCGUGGGGAGCAAACAGG